UGAUUGCCAUGUGAUGAUCAUAAAUCUGCGGUGCCGACUGAUCGCCUAUCCAACUCUUUUCAGUGCCGUGCUAUUUUCAGAUCACAGUGUUUACGUGCCAUCUGCUCCUUUUCUCAAUUCACACGACGUCAAAACCUCCCAAUUCAUCAAAUACUACAACAAUCCGUAACUAGGAUAGGUAAAAUGGGUUCCAGUCGUCGGCCAUGCACCUACCUUGAAGCCGUCAUAAGUCCAGCUACCAAAUUUGAGGACGCAGCUGGUGGCUUCCAUUCGACUAGACCUUGGUGGUAGAUGGUGGCCUUGGUGGCCAGGGUAACUUCGAAGUUCCCGUCCGCGCUGCAAGGCAAUCAACAACGACCAGCAACCGCACAAACUAACAUAAACUAAGUCGAUUUCUGAACAUUUCACAACAGGAAAACUGGAACUGGUCCACGUAUGUUGUGCUAAUAAAUACGAGGGAAGGUGGAGGAAUGUGACAGGGAGUUCGAGGGACAUAACUGGGGUGCGAUAAAGUCGCUCCGGAGGGUUUUAUGAUCUUGUUUUAUUGGCCAGAGGCUCUUGUCACUCGUAUUUAUUGUGAACGAGGAAAUGGGACGCAAUAUAAAGGUGUCAAAAUUAAUAAGAAUUUACAUACGUAUCUCCUUUAAUCAGACGAAAAAGGUAUUUGAAAUAUUUUUACGAGCACUUUUAUUACGAGAACAUCAAGUUAAUUCAGCUUCCGCCUAACUCUCUGAUUAAUUGUUACGUCACCCGAAGUUUCAUACUUUUAUAAUCCAGAGGAAUCUCUUAAUGAGAACUCAGCAAAUUUUUAAGUAAAGCGGCUGAAAAUGGUGAGAUUUGUGAGAGUUAAAUCUGUCUCUCACGUAUUUCCACACCGAAAAAAAUACAGAGAGUGUCUUUAUCACGUACAUCACUCCAUCACCACCCCAGUGAUCAAAACCCUCACGUCCAAAAACCACGCCUUGCUGGUGCAAGGAAAUAAUUAAUAAUUAGGACAAAAAUGUUCCCUCUUGGAUUUUACUUCUCUUCAUUUAAUAUUCAACGUUCGGAAUAUAUAUCUCUAGUCAAAGUUCAGAAGCAAUCAUGACACUAAGAGGGUGAGUUUUUUGGACACGCAUUUAAAUUUUAACAAGAUCCUUGUAUUUCUGAGCAAAUAUGACCGGAUUUCUCUUUUUUGAACGGUAAUCUAAACUAAGCAGUUGGAACAAGGAAGAUAAGUUAAAUGACAGUCGUUGAAGUUGUCUAUAUGAGGUUUUCGACCAUCUGAGAAAACAGGAACGUUCCCUCUAAACACUAAAAUCGAUAUUUACCCGGACGAGUCGUCGAGAAAAAUGUGCGACAAUUCUCAAGUCCUCCUUAAACGCAAUUAAAAUCUGGUAAUACAUCUAAGAGAAUUUCCAGUCAGGUAUAACAAAUGCUUUCGGCGAGGUUCCGUAAUUCCUUAAGAUGCAAUUUCCUUAUUAUUCUGAAAUAUAGCUUUCGGAAAUAAUGGUUCAUUCACGCUGAAAAUCGUUCUAAAGUUACUUCAUCAGCAAGAAGCUGAUUUUUGCAUUUAAAAUGAAUUAAAACUUCAGCUGUAAUUAUUUUUUAACUCCAAAGUUCUUUAGUAUUUAUUACAAUAUACGACGCGAGCAAUUUUACAUGAAGACUAUUUAUGCGAUCACACAACUGAAAGCAACUCGAGCUAAUAAGACUUUACGAAGGAUGAAACUCCACUAAUGGAAAAUAUAUGUAAGCCGGAGCAAAAACUUGGAACAGUAUCCAUAAUAAUAAAAUUGUUUUAGUGACAUUUGAUCCGUUUUACUUUUUAUAAAUAUUUAUCACUCAAAAAAUGAAAAAUUCCCAAGCUUUGAAUCGAUGUCAUUUUAUGUUACAUAAAGAUGUAUCUUCGUCAACACUACUAAAAAUAUAAAUGAACAAAAGUGAAAUAUGAUCAAGAGGAAAGAAAACAAGAAAAAAACAUUUGAGAAAUUCAAGUACUCGUUGAUGGGUUUGAGGAAGAUUAAAACUUGUCUAGCGGUGAAUAGUGUCAUCUUUCACAAGGGAACUAGUCUUGUAAUUAGUGCAAGCCAUUAAUCCAAUUAGUUUUAUCAUAUGUCAAGCAAGAACCGUAAUUUCUCUUUGACUCUCUUAGUAUACAAAUAAAAACUUUUGACAGAAUGAGAAAAAAUUUGUUUGAGGUUGUUUUUGCUUCCUUUAUUUUUUAUUCGUAACUCGAGGAUACAUAUGUUAUAAAUUCAUAAGUAUAUUUUAAAUGUCAAUAUAAUAACUCAU